rfam:Pan troglodytes isolate Yerkes chimp pedigree #C0471 (Clint) chromosome 6, whole genome shotgun sequence.
GCCGGGUAUGGUGGCGCAUGCCUGUAAUCCCAGUUACUCUGGAGGCUGAGACAGGAGAAUCGCUUGAACCCGGGAGACAGAGGUUGCGGUGAGCCGAGAUCGCACCAUUGCACUCCAGCCUGGGUGACAGAGUGAGACUCUGUCUCGA